rnacentral:tRNA from 4 species
GGCUGAGUAGCUCAGUUGGUAUGAGCGAACGACUGAAAAUCGUUAGGUCGCCGGUUCGAUCCCGGCCUCAGCCACCA